rnacentral:rRNA from 1 species
UACGAAGGGGGCUAGCGUUGUUCGGAUUUACUGGGCGUAAAGCGCACGUAGGCGGAUCGAUCAGUCAGGGGUGAAAUCCCAGAGCUCAACUCUGGAGCUGCCUUUGAUACUGUCGAUCUGGAGUAUGGAAGAGGUGAGUGGAAUUCCGAGUGUAGAGGUGAAAUUCGUAGAUAUUCGGAGGAACACCAGUGGCGAAGGCGGCUCACUGGUCCAUUACUGACGCUGAGGUGCGAAAGCGUGGGGAGCAAACAGG